rnacentral:tRNA from 1 species
GCAGUCGUGGCCGAGUGGUUAAGGCGAUGGACAAGAAAUCCAUUGGGGUCUCCCCGCACAGGUCCGAAUCCUGUCGACUGCG